rnacentral:rRNA from 1 species
UACGAAGGGGGCGAGCGUUGUUCGGAAUUACUGGGCGUAAAGGGCGCGUAGGCGGUCCUUCAAGUCAGGCGUGAAAGCCCCGGGCUCAACCUGGGAACCGCGCUUGAGACUGGCGGACUCGAGUUCGGGAGAGGAUGGUGGAAUUCCCAGUGUAGAGGUGAAAUUCGUAGAUAUUGGGAAGAACACCGAUGGCGAAGGCAGCCAUCUGGACGGAUACUGACGCUGAGGAGCGAAAGCGUGGGGAGCAAACAGG